rfam:Danio rerio chromosome 4, GRCz11 reference primary assembly.
GGCUCGUUGGUCUACGGGUAUGAUUUUCGCUUUGGGUGUGAGAGGUCCCGGGUUCAAAUCCCGGAUGAGCCC